CUCGUGACCCCCCAAACCCUGAAUGGGAGUCCGGGUGCUGGAGAGGGCCGCAGACUCGGAACCCGGGGGAAUGCGCUGGCACGCUGUCCUGCGGUCCCGGGACAAGGGAGGGGAGGGAUGGGGAUGUAAGACCCCGAGGGUCACUUUGAGGCGCCGACGCUCAAUUAUCAGCCCCCACUGAAGCCGAGGGGGUGUCAGAGAAAGUGUGUGUAUGGUGCCUGUGCUUGGGGGGCUGGGGGGUUAGAUGCCCUGGGGCGCCGGCAGCCCGGAUGGGCAGGCCCGUCGUCCCCAGCUCCGUGUCCGUCUCCCCUGCUUACCUGGCUCUCGCAGAAGCCGCACCAGCGAGGCCUGGGUGGAAGGCGGCGGCGACCCCAGACAGGACGCGGCCGGAGUGCAACAGGGCCAUGCUGGGCGGCGAGAAGGCAGUGGGCAGCGGCACGACGGAGCGCAGGCCGGCGGGCGCAGACACGCAGGCGCGGGCUCCCGCGGGAGUUCGGGAGGCUAGAAGCCCAAAAUCCAGAUGUCAGCAGGGUUCGUUCCUUCUGGAGUCUCUGGGAUAGGAAUCUGCUCCCUGCCUUCUUCCAGCUUCUCGCAGUUGCUGGCAAUCCUUGCCAGCAAGCAGGUCCUUGGCUUAUAGACACAUCACUCAAUCUCUGCCUCUGUUUUCACAUUGUAUUUUGUUUUGUUUUGUUUUUGUUUUCACAUUGUAUUAUCUCCCUGUGUGUAUCUCUGAGUUUGUUCUCCUCCUCAAGGACAUGAAUCGUAUUGGAUCAGAGCCUACAGUGACGGUUUCAUCUUAUACAUCUGCAGAGACCCAGCUUGCAAAUCACAGGGAUCCCUGGGUGGUGCAGCGGUUUGGCGCCUGCCUUUGGCCCAGGGCACGAUCCUGGAGACCCGGA